rnacentral:lncRNA from 1 species
GGAACAUACGGGUACAUUGCUUCCUAUCUGUCAGAAAUCUGCCUAGGGAAAUGAGGUCAGCUAUCUACUCAGAAACCAUCCUUGAACACAAGGUAGCCUAGAUUUGUUUCUCUAAAUUGCAGAAGGUUUGGCCUUGCUCAAAGUGAAAGUGGAAGAAAUUCUUUCUGCACUUUUAUCAAGUCACAGGAUGAAAAUGGCCACAAAACUCCAUAUCACCUUCUCUGGAGGAUGGCUUGAGACAUGACUUGUCUGCUAUGGAGAAUGGCAGUGCCUAUAGCAUGUGGGGAAAACCAACCUGAAACACACCUCAGCUCUGAUCCAUACCCUGCAAGCCAACAAAAGGCACACUGGCUCCCUGCAAGGCUGUGUUAUACAGAGAUGGCACUAACCUGAUGAUCCUGCUUCAACUGUUAUGAAAACAUGCUCUGAAAGCUGCAGCCUGCAGGCAAGUUAUGGCAUUGAAGAUUUUCUCUUUGUCUUUCUGAUUAUUUUAAUUGCCCCUCCCUCAGGAACCAAGAAAAUACUUGACACAAAAUCACAGUCACACUAAGCUCCCGAAGAAUUUUGCCAUUGACUGUAGUGCGGCUGUAUUUCAUUCUGAGUCACGAUUUUUGUUGCCUUCUCUCCUUCUAUGUGGCAAAGCUGUUAAUGAGCUCUACAUUUUGAAUAAAUCCUGAUUUCUCAUGUCA